GGCAGGGGUAGCUCAGUGGUUAAGAUGUUGAACUACCGAUCAGAAGGUUGUGAGUUCAGAUCCCGGCUCUGCCA